rnacentral:rRNA from 1 species
CCCAGACUCCUACGGGAGGCAGCAGUGGGGAAUAUUGCACAAUGGGCGAAAGCCUGAUGCAGCAACGCCGCGUGAAGGAAGAAGGCCUUCGGGUCGUAAACUUCUUUCCUUGGGGAAGAAGAACUGACGGUACCUGACUAAGAAGCCCCGGCUAACUACGUGCCAGCAGCCGCGGUAAUACGUAGGGGGCAAGCGUUAUCCGGAUUCACUGGGUGUAAAGGGAGCGUAGACGGCGGCGCAAGUCUGGAGUGAAAGCCCGGGGCCCAACCCCGGGGCUGCUCUGGAAACUGCGGCGCUGGAGUACGGGAGGGGCAGGCGGAAUUCCUGGUGUAGCGGUGAAAUGCGUAGAUAUCAGGAGGAGCACCGGCGGCGAAGGCGGCCUGCUGGACCGUGACUGACGCUGAGGCUCGAGAGCGUGGGGAGCAAACAGGAGUAGAUACCCCUGUAUCC